rnacentral:lncRNA from 1 species
GCUGUGUUCAGUCCGCCAUUGCAAACACGAAGCUCUUCCAGAAACGCCCUCACAGACACCCCGGAAGUCACGUACCCACUCUGUAGGUGCCCCGGGGCACAGGCAAGCGGACGAGCCAGUUAUCCCUCAGAGCUCCUGCUGCCUCGCCCGCUUUCUCUCGGAAACGUGAAGUGUGGCCUCAGCUGAAAGUGAGUUCCUGGAUUUGAAACUGAAGAAGCAAGCAAUCUGGAAAUGUCAGUGGAUGCACACAAAGAAACAACCGCAAAAGCCUGCUCGCUCUAGCCAAGGGACAAGAAUAGGGGCAGUCCAUCAAGACAGAAUCCUUUUAAAAAAUAACCACUCCACUCCAGCAAUACCACAGAAGAAUCUGGCUGUACCCCAGGUACAUCAGCAAAGAUAACCUUUACCUAGCAGUAAAGAGGUCCCCCUUACACUGGGAGCCCUAGUGAAGAGCAGGGACUUUCACCCCCACCUAGCAGUGAUGGGGCCCCACCCACCACAGUGCCAGCAGAGACCAUGUGGGAGCCAGAAUCCUCAUCCCUACCCAGCAGUAACAAGGAGCCCUCCUCACUGCGGGCAUCAAGGGUGAGUGAGUGCAAAACCUGGGUGUCACUCGGAAGGGAAGAAUGGUGUCUCCUUCCUUCCCAUCCCCUGCCAGAGUGAUAUCACUAGGAAAAAGAAAAUAAUUUAUCACCAGCAAAUCUACCCUACAGCUAAAACAGAGGGCUUAAGUUAGGCCCAGAAUCUCAUGACAUAAUACGAAAAUGUCCAGAAUUUAAUAGAAAAUCACUUAUUCUACUAAAAAUGGAGAGGAUCACACAAUGGGUGAAAAGACAAUCAGUGCAUGCCAUACAAAUUGACAGAGAUGUUGGAAUUAUUUGACAAAGGUUUUAAAACAGCGAUGAAAAUGCUUCAAUAAACAAUUACGAACACACUUAAACAAAGGAAAACAAAGAAAGCCUCAGCAAAGAAAUAGAAAGCCUCAGCAAGGCAAUAGAGAUAUAAAGAAAAAAAAAUGAGUAGACAUUUUAUUAUUUAUUUAUUUAUUUAUUUAUUUGAGAUGGAGUCUCCCUCUGUUGCCCAGGCUGGAGUGCAGUGGCAUGAUCUCGGCUUACUGCAGCCUCUGCCUCCCGGGUUCAAACGAUUCUCCUGCCUCAGCCUCCCGAGGAGCUGAGAUUACAGGCACCCACCACCAUGGCUGGCUAAUUUUUGUAUUUUUAGUAGAGGCGGGGUUUCACCAUGUUGGCCAGGCUGCUCUUGAACUCCUGACCUCAAGUGAUCCACCCACCUCAGCCUCCCAAAGUGCUGGGUUUACAGGCAUGCACCCCCACACCCAGCCUCAAAUAGACAUUUUAGAACUGAAAAAUAUAAUUGAAAUUUUAAAAGCACAGUGAAAUGAGCUCAACAGCAGAAUGAAAUGGACACAGGAAAGAACUGCGAAAUGGAAGAUGGAACAAUGGAAAUAAUCCAACCCGAACAACAUGGAGAAAGUAGAAGAAUAAUAAAA